rnacentral:rRNA from 1 species
CCUACGGGGGGCAGCAGUGGGGAAUAUUGCGCAAUGGGGGCAACCCUGACGCAGCAACGCCGCGUGAUUGAAGAAGGCCUUCGGGUUGUAAAGAUCUUUAAUUGGGGACGAAACAAAUGACGGUACCCAAAGAAUAAGCUCCGGCUAACUACGUGCCAGCAGCCGCGGUAAUACGUAGGGAGCAAGCGUUAUCCGGAUUUACUGGGUGUAAAGGGCGAGUAGGCGGGCUGGCAAGUUGGGAGUGAAAUCCCGGGGCUUAACCCCGGAACUGCUUUGGAAACUGUACAGCUAGAGUGCAGGAGGGG